GAAGGUAUAGCUCAAGCAGUAGAGUGCAUGCUUAGCAUGCACGAGGUCCUGGGUUCAAUCCCCAGUACCUCCU
rnacentral:tRNA from 1 species